ensembl:lncRNA
UGAUGCUUCACACAUGCAGAGGGCACCAACAUUCCUCUGUCAAAGUUCUGAUUCACAAAGUAAAUUUUUACCAUUUUGAAGAUGUCAGUAGCUAUAGGAGUUUACAUAAGGGACCAACAAAAUCAGACUUUAAAAAAAAUAUUUCUGGUGCAUAAAUAAUAAGGGGGGGGGACAAAACAAGAGCUAACAGAAUCAAGAGAUAUCAGGGAUUCGUAGAGUUGCAUGUUGAAAGGAAAUGGCCCUACUGUGAGCUUAUUUAUGAAUACUUCAAUAUAUUGGAAGAAAUGGCAGCAAUUUGGGGGUUGGUAACAUAAUUUGACAGGAAAACAGCUUCAGUUUUCUACAUCUACCACAAGCCCCAAAUCAGCCUGACCGUUUCCAGGGCACAUCUCCUUGGCUUGGCAACAACGGUAGCAAUAACAACAGGUAAUAACGAAUGAUCAUACAUAUUGAACUGUGUUAACAUAUCAGUAGACGUUAGAGCAUUACUUUGCCAUUCUAUGUGACAAAUGUGUGUAUUAACAGGGCUCUUCAACACUCAAGUAGUCUUGACUCAAUACUCAAUAGUAAGGCAAUUUCUAAAUCUCAGUAUAUUGACAUUUUGGGCCAGAGAAUUCAUUGCUGCGGGGACUGUCCUGUGCAUUGUAGGAUGUUUAGCAGCAUCCCUGGCCUUACCCAUUAGAUGCCAGUAGCACUCCCACAGUGGUGACAACCAAAAAUGUCUCCAGACAUUGCCAAAUGUCCCUGAAGUGUCUUCCUGCUCUAAAGGAGUGACUCUAGUGGUGAGAAGUUAGAAACAUUGGCAUACUAAACUGAAGAUACUUUUGAGUGGACAGGACUUUUACUGUAUCUAAUUAGUUGAGGUAGGUAGUUCUUCACUUUGCUUAUAAAUCAAACCAACUCUGCCCCAAUUCCAGGUAACAGCUAUUGAUUGAGUACCUAUUGUAGACAGGAAACAUAACUUGCAUAGUCAGUAUACCUAGAGAUUAAGCACUUGGCUCUGGUGUCAGGCGCCUGGGUUGGAAUUCUGGCUCUAUUUGUUUGCGGUCUGACCUGGGAUAAUUUCCUUUACCUCUCUGCCAUUGUUUCUUCAUCUGUAAAAUAAAAUGACAUAGUGUAUGUGAAAUUACAUAGAAGUGUUUGAGAAUUCAAUGAAUCAAUGCACACAAGGCGCUUUGAACUGAGCCUAGGGUGUGGAAAACAGUAGAUAUUUACUGCUAUUCUUAAUCAUUACAACAGCUCUGAAACUUAGGUAACAUUAUCUAUGCUUUAUGCACUUGGAAGGGAAUAUUCAGAGAAAUCACGUGCAAAAUCACACAGCUGCUAAGUCACUUGGCUGGCAAGAAGAGAAGUCACGAAUCAAACUCUAAGACGACUGUUUCUCCCUACAGCCAGGCCCGAGUGGAAGACAGGCUAAACCCAGGUUAAACCUGGGAGGAAGAGUUCUCUUUCAGGGAUAAAAACUGGAACUUGUCCCCUUGGCUUGUUGCGUUCGCAGCGAGUAAUGGAAAGACUCACUGAACAGGAGCCGGAAAAACCGCUUUACCGCUGACCAGCUGUGAGAACUUGGGCGAGUCUCUCGAACAUCCUGAAGCUGUUUACUCAUCUGCAAAAUGGACGCAAAAACACCUGCUCUGCGUUCUUCACGGGCGGUGGUCAGAGUGAUGUGAGAAAAAGCAUGCAGCAGAGCACUGGAAAACUAUAACGUGCCCAACCAAUGUUGAGGUUGGGAAGGUAACGCUCUCGGCAGGUUUGUGCUGGCGGGGAGGCACGCCUACGACCUCUCCUUUCCUGGGCCGUGUCCAGCAGCUCCACCAAAGCGUGUACUGCUGGGGCCCCGCCGGGGGCGCCCGGCCUGGGCUGCAGCAUAGGAACCGGGAGGCCCCGGGGGUGCGCAGCGGGCAGAGGUUGGGCCUUCUCCCGCCUCGUCCAGGGUGAGCAAUCUGGGAGGUGACCCCAACAUGGAUGCAGCAGCUGCUGCUUAUCUGUAGUUAGUCAGCGACCCAGACAGAUGAGGUGUCCGUGGCGACCUUCCUGCCUCAGUGAGUGUGGGAACUCGGGGCUUCCCAGGGCCGGGAGGUGGGAACGUAAACAAAAUGGCCCCUGCUGAAGCUCCCGCCUCCAUCCUCCCUCGGCGCAGCCCUAACCUUGGAGGAGGCACGAGAGAUCGAGAGAUCGUCUAGGCACCGCCACUGAGGGGGCGGAGGAAAAAACGCCGGAGCUCUGGGGGAUCAGGAGAUGGAAAGACAAUGGUCCUGCUGGGUUGAUGGACUGAAGAAAGAACAAGGCUUCACUUUACCUUCCCAGCUUCCUUAUCGGCUUCCCAGGAAUGACGCACAUUCUCUGUCUCAUCCUCCUCAAAAGGAGAAGCCCUUUUUCAUAUAGAAGAAGAAAAAAGAUAAAUUACUGAUUUUUAUUUAACUAUUUCUAUCAAAAUUAAAUAUGCACAUAGUUUAAAGAAUCGAAUGGUUCUACAUUACUAAAUAGCAGCCCCCUGCCCCCACGCCAUUUCUCACUCCUCAGAGGAGAUCACUUCCAAUGCUCUAACUAAUCCUUUUUGUUCUUUUGGAAUCACUGUAUCUCUAAACAGCGACUUCCUAAUUUUAUCUAAUCCCUUUCUACUGUGGAAAAUGGGGAUUUAGCUUUCACCCCUUCCGUUACCACACACAU